rnacentral:rRNA from 1 species
CGCGUAUGUAACCUACCUACUACUAUUGGAUAGCCCAUGGAAACGUGGAUUAAUACAGUAUGGUAUUAUCGAAUUGCAUAUUUUGAUAAUUAAAGAAUUUCGGUAGUAGAUGGGCAUGCGUAUGAUUAGCUAGUUGGUAAGGUAACGGCUUACCAAGGCCACGAUCAUUAGCGGUUCUGAGAGGAUGAUCCGCCACACUGGCACUGAGAUACGGGCCAGACUCCUACGGGAGGCAGCAGUAGGGAAUAUUGGUCAAUGGGGGCAACCCUGAACCAGCCACCCCGCGUGAGGGAAGAAUGC